rnacentral:ncRNA from 1 species
GCAGAGUAGGUGCCUGCGCGUCAAGUGCCGAUCGGACGGGGAGUUGCCGAUCGGACGAAGGGGAACCGCGGUGCAGGUGUUGCAUCCCGCUGC